UUAAAUUAUUUAAUUUUUGAUUCAGAAGACACGUUUAUAAUGAGUUUGAGAAAACUUCUGCCGGUCGAAACCGGCAAAGAAACAGGUUUAGUUAAAACAUAGGGUUGAAGUUUGGGCACUGAGUACCCUAAACCUUUAAUGAUCCUUCCGCAGGUUCACUAGAAAAAUGUUAGCAAAAAUCACAAGAACAAGGAAUGGGGGAUAAUAACUCACCCUACGGAAA
rnacentral:misc_RNA from 1 species